UCAGGCUAAAAUACCUGCUCGUCAAUGCCCAACUUCGUCAGAUCUCUGAAGCUAAGCAGGGUUGGGCGUGGUUAAUGCUUGGAUGGGAAACCGCUGGGAAUAUCAGGAGUCACAGUGGA
rnacentral:rRNA from 1 species